rnacentral:rRNA from 1 species
GACGAACGCUGGCGGCGUGCCUAAUACAUGCAAGUCGAACGCUUCUUUCCUCCCGAGUGCUUGCACUCAAUUGGAAAGAGGAGUGGCGGACGGGUGAGUAACACGUGGGUAACCUACCCAUCAGAGGGGGAUAACACUUGGAAACAGGUGCUAAUACCGCAUAACAGUUUAUGCCGCAUGGCAUAAGAGUGAAAGGCGCUUUCGGGUGUCGCUGAUGGAUGGACCCGCGGUGCAUUAGCUAGUUGGUGAGGUAACGGCUCA